CAAAUAAUGGUAAGUAGCAUGACAGUUGACCCAGCCAACAAGCCCAUUCCGACAGAGACCUGGCUUUGAGCUGUUGCUGUACUCCCAGAAAGUCCAGAUACAAGAAUAAGCAUUGCAUCAGGAAGCGCGCCGAGCACAGGAAGAAACAAGCCACCAACGAUUCCAGGGCCCAAAAUCUCAAGCAAGAGCUCGCUACCAUUAGACAAAUAGGUAGCAGCAAAGAACAUUAGGUAUCCAUACACAAUUAUCAAAAACAAGUUACCAAGCGCAGUGGAGGUACAAGGCAUAAAGCCAUAGGUCUGCUCACAGGAAUACUCAUAAGAGAACGGAUCGAGGAGGAUGUAAGGCCGUGUCCGGAGGGAGUGGACACCAUCAGAAAUCAGAUUAGAGUGCUGAGACGAUGAGAGGGGCCGGGAAUGGACGGCGGAGACGGGGAAGAGGAUCGGAAGGAGGAGGAGGAGGAGUAGGUGGCGGUAAGGUUUGUGAGCAGGCAUGGUUAGUGAUGAGACGAGUGCA
rnacentral:misc_RNA from 1 species